AAGCUUUUUUCUACUUUCAAAAUUAUUUAUUUACUUUUUAAACUUUUGUUAAAAACAAAGACACACACACACACAUCUUAUAUUAACACAAAAGCGAAGGCAACAAUAUAAUUCUUUUAGCUAAUCUAUUUUUCUCCCUUUGGCUCUUCGAGGUUACAAAACCAGAGCCUGGGAAAAUGGGAUUGUACUAAAACUCCCACAGAAAGAUGUCUAGAAGUCUUGUUGCUUCAGAUGCAGCAAAACAACAUCUGAUUGGCAAAGGGCCACUUUGGUUUUUCUCCUGCUUGGCUAGCAUCCUAAACUUAGUUUUCACAGUGUUCUGUCCCUAUUUAACACUGUGUAGUGGAAAGGCAAAAUAGUGAGGUGGUAAAGAACAUGGACUGUGGAUUCUGACUGCCUGGGUUGGAAUUCUCAUUCUGUCACACACUGGUCAUGUGAUCUUACCCUCCGUCUCUGUUUCCUCACUUACAAAAUGAGGAGAAUCAUAAGACCUGCCUCACAGGAUUGGUAUGUGGAUUAAGCGAAUUAGUAUAUGUAAAGUGCUUAGAACAAUGCUUAGCACAUAGUAAAUAGUAUUGCAUAAACACACACAAACACACAAUGCAGUAAUUUCUCACAUUUUGCGUAAUCAAACUGGGAUAAUGACUUUAUGAUUCCCUUAUAUAACUAUAAAGAAAUAUUUCAUUAUCUGAAUUAGCUUAUUCAUUGAGGACUAUUAAAAUGUAAGGGAUAAACUGGAUAUCUAACAUACAUGUGAACUUUCUACUUCUUCCACUUAUGUCUAUUAAGUGUAUUUGCACUUGAUAGAUAUUUUACAAUGUGGGUAUAAAAAUCCACAGGUAGCAUAAAAGUAAAGGGGAAUGAUAAUGGUCUUUCUUGUUUUCUAGUAACAGCUUCCCCCCGCAGUAGUGUUCUUUUUUUUUUUGGAACACAUAUUGGCAAUGGGAAUAUAAAGACCUGAAGGAGGCUCUCUGCCUAGCUUCAAGGAACCACAGGAUACUUAGGGAAUUAAAGAAUGAUAAAAGGAAGAAUAUCACGAGACACCUGGGAGUCUCGUUCUUUAUCAUUUGCUCUUGACACAUGAAUUUCCAAAACACGUGUCAUUUCUUAACCAGGACAGAACUGUAAUAAUUUGUUCUAGUUCUCACAUGCAUUCUUUAUGAUGAGAAAUCUGAAGUCAUCCUCACCUUUGUUCCUGUAUAUGUAACAAGGCUUUCUUCUCUGGUUCCUAGGAUCUUCUCUUUAUCAUUAGUUUGGGGAAAUUUGAUUUGUGCCUUGCUAUAAUUUUCUUCAUGUUGCUUGUGCCUGGGUUUGUUGAAUUUCUUGGAUCUGAGGUUGUCACAACAUAUUGCUUUCUUCACAGAGAGAUAACCCUGUAGAUGAAGUGAUAAAAGUUCUGAAUGAUACUACAAAAUGGUUGG
rnacentral:lncRNA from 1 species